AAUUAAGGAAAAAAAGCUAUAAAAAAAAAAAAAAGGAAAAGUCCUGCAUGAAUGGAAAAAACUGAAGAAGUUGGAGUGCCACCUCAAAAAUGGAUGUUAAAUUAUGAAAAUAAUGAUUAGCAGAGAGAAGGAAGUGUAGCAAUCAUGUGGGUUCAGCAGGCAAGCUAAGAAAAAAAGAUCAUAUUCAGAAGUAAGGUGAGCUGGAUAAACCCAAGGAAUUAGAUUCACCCUAAUUAAUCUCAGACAGACAAGAGAAAACUGCUGCCUCUGCAUUCCAGGAGCUACAACUUCUACUAGAUGGCAAAAGACUGCCAUCAAUAAAUGAAAGAAACUGCUGGGAUCAGUCUUCUGGGACGAUGAACUGCUAUUGACUGUAAGAGUUCACUGCUCUGUCUGGAAGAAUUCAGGUAAGCACUUGAGGACACUAUUUACAAACCAAGGAGGAUUCACAAUUACUUCUAGUUCCCAGCAUCUAACUACAUCUUUUCUCUUAGCUGCAUCAUCCAAUCCUGAUUAAAGCAAAUCCUACAAUAUGUGACACUUAU
rnacentral:lncRNA from 1 species